UGGUGUCUACCUUAUUGUCAUAUUUUUUCCGUUAUUGCUUUCACAUUGCUAAAUUCUAACUAUAUGUGACCCUCACUUUGGCAUUCGUUUAGGUUAGAAACUUUUUUAGUAAAAGUGUUUUUCAUCUUGUAAAAUUACUUCAAUAUAAGACAUAUAUAGCACUUCCCAUUAAACAUGUGUGGCCAUUAGUAACUAUGUUGUAACAUUUCAAGGCAUCAUUUUUUAUAAAAAAAUAUUAAAUAAUAGUUGAAUCGUUCUCUUCCCAUUUUGGUAAAGAAGUUUUUGUCUGAAGCUAUUUUCACACUAUAGUCCCUACUACAGAUUAUUUUAACCAUAUUUAAAAAUGGAUCAAUAUAAAAUUUUCACUUGAAUAUACAUGCCAAAAAUUUCAAGGACCAACCUUUAAUCUUAAAUAAACAAUGCAUAAGAUCCCAUUUGAUGUUUUUAUUUCCUUUAAUUGUGUAAUAGGAGGAGAUCAUGGAAAAAGUUAAAAUAUGCAAUGAAGUAUAUGGUGUGUGUUUUACAUAAAAAUAGUGUUCAUAUUUAAAAAAAGUAAAAUUUACUCACAUUACAUGAGUUUUAGUAAAAUUGUGUAAAUCAUUUUUCUCUUUUUUGUAAUUACAUAAACCACUCAUAUUUAUAUUCAUAUAUUAUACUAAUUAUCUUUACAUGAGAAAUAAGUGUGAUAUUUUAAACAAAAAAAUAAUGAGCAUAAUUAAAUUAAGCAAAAUAAAUAUAUUAUGGAGACAAAUCUAAAUAAUAUAAGAUUAAAGUUCUCUCAUUAUCUUUGAUUCAAUAUAAAAUAUAUAAAUAAUACAAGUUUUUUUUCCAGAUGUGUAUAUGAGAAAACUUUGUUUUUCUUUUUCCGGUAGCUAGGAAGAUAAUGUGGUAUGACAAAAUGUUUUGGGAAAUGAAUGAAUAUAAUAUAUUAGAUAUUGGUCAUGGAGGUUAUAUGGUUAUCCUACAUCUACAUAAAAUAAUAUAUAGAAGGGUAAAGUUAAAAAAGGUAAGUAGUCCAGGAGCUCAUAAGCAGGGGAUUAUUUGUUGAAUUUGAACACGUGAUUUCAAAAAACAAAACACAGCAAUGUUAUUUCACCUCUGUGUCAAACUCCCCUAUUGGUUAUAUAUUUUUUAUUAAUUUAAUAAAAAUAUUGAAUAUAUAUAAUUGAGAGUGCCCACCCAUUAUUCGACAUUCAAUUGUAAUAUAUAUAUUUAUGUAUAGUCACAUGUAGCUAGAAUUAAUUGUCAGGCCGUCGUAGUCAAAUCUAGUGAUUCGAUAUGUUGACAUUUAUAAUUUAAAAGUUUAUAUAAUAGGACAAGUUGAAAUAUUUAAUGUGUCAAAAAUAUAUAUCCAUGCUCAUUGGUUAAUUAUGUAACCUGGUUGAAGAGCUUUUAAGAAUGAUCAGAUUCCAACUUUGCUUUGACUAAGGCGCAAGUUUGGACAUGAGUGACCAGACUGCUACAUUUACAGUUUCUGCAUACAACAUUCAAGCUGCAUUGUCACUGAAACCCAUAAUUUACUACACAAGCUUAAGCUCAACAUCACAAAGUUAUACAAGAUUCAAAGGUUUUAUGUUAAUUGGAUGUAAUUGUUGGAAAUCUCACUUGUAAAAACAAGAUAACACACGCUAAUAUAUAAAAAUCUCACUUGUAAAAACAUGAUCCUAAAAUUGUUGGAAAUUUAAACAUUAAACAUUCACUUAAUUACUUUAAUAUUCAUGUUUUUUUAUAGGCUCGUGUGGUUUUGUUUAAUGCAUGUAUUGUAUCUCUACAUUAGAAAAACUAAUAAUUACCUGGAGGCAAUUUAGGAUGUUAGUGUGAAUUGUAGUGUUCUCAUUUCAACUAUGUGAUCCUAACUUAUAAGGUACUUGGUAUAUAAAUAAAUAUUAAUGUAGUAAAGCAUAUAUGAUACAAUGAACUUAAGUAUAUAUAUAAAAAAAAAAAUAAGUGAAAUGAGAUUGUAAAAGAGUUUGAAUAUUUUACCUCGCGCGCUAUAUAUCCUGUUAUUUAAUUUGGUGAAUGAAGAAGAAGGAAUAUGCAAAGAAAGGUGGAGUAUGUAAUGAUUUAUAGGCAACAAAUACCAUAAUCAAUUAUUGAUAUAUAUCUACCAAGGACACUUGAUGAUUGAAAGGUUAUGCUUAAGAAAAGGCCACGCGGACCAUACUGCUAUAUUUGGUUAAUCCAAUAUUGAAUUGUGUAGGUUUUGAUGUGAAAGUGAAGUGAAGUGAAGAGUGGAGACGGAGAAAGAGAGACUUGGAGGAAUGAGAACCAUACUCUAACGCUAUUAGUACAAUGAAGUAGUCAUGAAUUAAAUAAAUACCCGAUAUCACUCCCAUGUAAUUAUUUGUAUCUAAGGUAUAUGAAGUGAGCAGUGGAAAACAGAACCAACUCUCAAAGUCCAUGUCGGCACACAAACGUGGCUCUAUCGAGCAACACAUGUACAUCAACAUUUGCACCCCUAAACUUUACCAAUAGCCAUAGAUUACAAUCAACACCAUGUGCAUUUCUUACACUAAAGGACAUCAAAAUCUGGCUUACAUUGCUUACAAUGAUCAUAUGAAAUGAAUUCAUAUUUAAUAUCCGACUCUCAAAUACUAAAACAUGUGGAGAAGAUUAAAACUUAGGCGUAGUGAUAAAUUGAGCCAUUUUCCAGUGGCCCACAAUGUGCCUAAUUAGGAAAUUACUACAAGAGUUGGGUAAGUCCCUUAGCCUCAUUCUUUGAGUUACAAUGAUAAGUUAAGAAUAGACGUGAAUGAAAAUUGAGUUUCAAAGGUAAUUUCGUUUUAGAAAAACUGUAAGAGUUUUCAUUACUUUACUGGUUAGUUUCAUCAUUUUAAUAAUAACUAAAUAAAACUUCCAAUUUCUACAUGGAAAAGAAAAUAAGAUUGUAUGUUUAAAAUAAAAUUUGUCCUUUUUAGAUUAUGCUCACACAUGAUUGGUGUAAGACUAAUUAAUUUUCCAAAAUAAGUUCAGGCGCUUAGUUUUUUAUCCUAUAUAAAACUGAAUAAAUGUAAUGACAAUAGUGCAGAUCCAAAAUGAAGAAGCAAGGGGGUAAAAAAAAAGAUGAAUGAAAAUAGCAUUAUAGUUGAUGAAGUGAGUAAAUAUAUUAUACCUGAGAGAGUUGGAUGAUGAUGAAUUGGAGGAGAGUAUAUCGGUUAAAGGAAUAUGAAAAGCUUCUGACCAAGACAACUGUGUAAUGCAUGUGGCAGUGGGUGAACCCCAACGAUAGCUACCUGCAGAGAAGUUAAAGAACUCAUCCUCUUUGGUCUUAUCAUGAAACGGUUUCCUGAACAACUUCUCUUGUUCACAUCUUAAUCUUUUCAAAAUCUCACUUGAAAUCCCAUGGUUUAUAACCUGGAAGAAACCCCAUUGUUGUGAAGCCCUAGCUAUGGUGGACUUGCACUCUUCCCUCGCCACCGGGUCACUCUCUUCUAAAGACUUUAGGUUGAUCAAUGGGAGCUCGCAUUCAACCAUAACUUCGUUGUUAAGAAGACCAUUAAUCUCUUCAUUAUUACUUAUGAUCUUGUCGAAUAGACUCUUGUAUGCCUCAUGAAAGGGUGGGUCAGAGAUUGAGUUCAUUGUUAGCUGCUCAGAGAAAAGAGAUCAAUGCAAUAAAAUGAGAACAGUGGCGGUUUUCUUUUAUGAAAUUAAUUGAGACAAAAAGAGAUAAGGCCAAUUAAUUAGUUUACUGCUUCCUCUCUUUACUUCGUCUUUGAACAAAACGUUUUAGACUUUGAAGACAAAGGUAGUUUGCAUGUCUUUUUAUUGAGACAAUAUUAUGUUAUCUACUAUAUAUAAUAUAAGUUGGUGUCUACCUUAUUGUCAUAUUUUUUCCGUUAUUGCUUUCACAUUGCUAAAUUCUAACUAUAUGUGACCCUCACUUUGGCAUUCGUUUAGGUUAGAAACUUUUUUAGUAAAAGUGUUUUUCAUCUUGUAAAAUUACUUCAAUAUAAGACAUAUAUAGCACUUCCCAUUAAACAUGUGUGGCCAUUAGUAACUAUGUUGUAACAUUUCAAGGCAUCAUUUUUUAUAAAAAAAUAUUAAAUAAUAGUUGAAUCGUUCUCUUCCCAUUUUGGUAAAGAAGUUUUUGUCUGAAGCUAUUUUCACACUAUAGUCCCUACUACAGAUUAUUUUAACCAUAUUUAAAAAUGGAUCAAUAUAAAAUUUUCACUUGAAUAUACAUGCCAAAAAUUUCAAGGACCAACCUUUAAUCUUAAAUAAACAAUGCAUAAGAUCCCAUUUGAUGUUUUUAUUUCCUUUAAUUGUGUAAUAGGAGGAGAUCAUGGAAAAAGUUAAAAUAUGCAAUGAAGUAUAUGGUGUGUGUUUUACAUAAAAAUAGUGUUCAUAUUUAAAAAAAGUAAAAUUUACUCACAU
rnacentral:lncRNA from 1 species